GUAGCGCGAACACAAACAGAAAAAGUUAAUGGUUUAAAUUAAUAUACAUAGUGUUGCUACACGAAAAGCAAGGCUUUCACAUGUGUCUGUAAGACUAACACGCUGCAAGAGAAGGCCUUAUAAAACCAUUCGUGACAAAAGAAGAAAACGGGAAGAACAUAGAGGAGAGAAGAGGUAUCGCAAUAGAACACGAUAAAGGACGCUAUCCAAACUUCCAACAAAAAUCUUGUGUGUUAAGGUGGCGUAACUGAGCAAGAGGGAGUUGAAGCUACGACACCUGGCACACCACACACAAGCUGACAAGGAACGAGAACGACAGCAAUGAGGGGAGCACACAGCUGACGAUGGUGAUUGCAUGCAGAGCACACCCUGAAUCGACGGGGUCGGUGGUCCACUCAGCAGCCAAGGAGAUGUGAGAUCCAGCAUCUCUGUGUACAACAAGAAAGUCGGUUCUGGUCUCUGUACGCGGCGCAGAUCGGGGGCAGCAAUGAAGAGGUCCAAGAAGGUUUCUAUAUUUGUUGCUCACCAUGUCAGGUGGAGCGACAGCCCAGCUGACCUUUUGUGCCUAAUGACACCAACUUUGAGGACCUGAGCUAAAAAUAGCCUCUCGUCUGAUCACGGUCCCUCCCUUGCCCUAAAGCGUCUAUAGAAGGAGCAAUGACCUGUGGCUGAGCUGCGAGAGAUCACCGAUCAUAGAUGCACCGAUGGGGUCUUGUGCCUGUCGGACAAGAUGUCAACAACGAGCUCUUUGGUGAGGGCCAUCCUGCCUCAAGAAGAUGCGAGUGCCUGUGGCGCCAUCUCGGUAAUCGACGUUGCUCUCUUCUCAGCUGUCAGCCAUCCCUCAGCUUGCUAGUCAGAACUAGUGUUACUUGUAUUGUGUGUGAGUGUGUCAGUGUGGAUUCAAAUGAAUAACAUGCGCCACAACGAACGUAAAGUACUCAUUUGUUCUGUUUAUGAAUUAUGUUAUAAGAAGGUUAUGGUUCUAUAAAUGUGCCAUUUGUUAAAAUGUCAUAUGUUUGUCAUGCCACGUCUCUUUGUGUUAGAAUAAGAUCUCAUACUUAUACCUUGUUACAAAUAGGCAAUGAUUCUUGUCAUUUUGCCUGGGUUAUAAAUAUAUAAAGGUACAUGUGCGUACACAAUCCAGACACUGGAUUGGGCCACACCUUGUUGAAUUGUGUAAAGAUGACACUUACACCAUGCACAAUAUAAACGCCCAGAGACAAUGAGGCACAAAAAAACCUUUAUUUAUAAAAUAUCAAAAAAUAAAAUAUCAAACGGGCGUUCAAAUAUAAUUGAAUGAGAGCAACCACUAUCAGCUUCACAAAAUGUUACACGAAUAUUAUUCAUGCAUGUUUCUAGUAAUUUAAGUCGAGUAGGGAUGGAUAACUUAGAGUGAAUGGACCUUAAGUUAUAAUUGCAGGCCUUUCCAUUCAAAUGACAAGCACAGAUGUGCUUAAAUAUGUGUAUUUGUCCUUUGCGACGUGUGUCCUUGUAAUAUAAUUGUAGUUUUCUUUUGAGUACUCUGACCAAUAAUUGUCUCAGGGAU